UUUUUUUUUUUUCAAUCAUACCAAGUCAAGAAGACAGUAGAUUUAUUUUUAAUUUUCUUCUCUAUUUUGAAGAAAUAACUAAGGUAGAGAAAACAUUCUUCCUGAUAUUUUUCCCAACGUUCCAUGACUAUCUUUUGAUUUGUUCACAACUACCUAUUCUGUCGAGGUGUGCAAAAUCAUAGAAUAAACUGCGAGGAAGCAGUAGUGCACGCAGUGACCUCCCAACAAGGGCAGGCACGCAUGUACACGCUCCAGCCUCUGCAUCCCCUCGGCGUUGCUGAAGACGAGCAAGCUUCUCGUUCGCUGGAGAAUGGUGAAGCCGGGUGGGACGUGUUCUGCUCCCGCCUGUGGCGUGCCCUAGGAAUGAGUCACUCUGGGAUAUUGCCGAGGAAGUCGGUGGGCUGGCGGGGAGACCCGUUCUCUCCCUUCGUGGCCCAAGGAGACAAGAAGGGGUUCUUACAGGGAGUUGUAACCACUCUUCCCCUGGAAACGGCUCAUCUCUCCCCAUUGCAGCAAGGCUAGCAGACAGCUGAGAAGAAAUGGAUGUUUUGUUCCGUCGCCCUUUUCCUGCUGUCUCCAGGCCGUGGUGACAGCAACAGAGCUAAAUCACACAAUUGUGCAUGUUCUACUGCAUGAUGUCGGAUCAGCGCAGCCCUGAGGCAGGUGGAGGGCAAGGCAAAGGGAAGCAGCGGGUGGCCUGGAAUUUACUGUUUAUCCCAGAAAGCAGGGUGACCGUAGUAACUCUGGACAAAAAUUGCAGAGAGGAAGAAAGAGGCUUCCUUCCCUUCAGGAAGGACAAUAUCCAGACCCAGGGGGGCAAAGCCCAAACAAAGAAUUGAUUAAUAUACCAGGAAAAUGCUGGUUUAUUAAACCCAAGUCUUUUCUGUCAGUCUGUUACCAGUUUCAAGUGGGGGUUUUUGCUGGAAGAGACAUCUUAGAUCCAGAACAGAAUUUCUGAAGAGAGCAAAAUGGGCAGACAAAUUUAGGCAGAUUAGGAGAGUGACUCUAAAUCCCCAGAGAUUUUCUUGACCAUUGGAUUAUUUUAGGGGUUAAUAUGUCUAUCUGUCUGUCUUUUGAAACAGCUUUUACUGACUGAGGUUUGUGAAGACCCUUGCUGCACAGAAUGGGACAGAACUUGCAAUCUCGAUGUUUUGAUGGACAGGGCACCAUCUUCUGUCCCACUCAUCCCUGACACUUCAGAGGAUUGCUGGUAAAAUAAUGUGAGCAAGCCAUUUCCCAUGUAAUUUCAUGCAGAAAUAUGCUUCUGUAAGAGGAGUCCUAGUGCACAGUGUCCAAACAAACAAAUACCCAGCAGGAGCUCCUACAGACGGAGACAGUCUGUGCAGGACCGGGAAAGGAAAAUUGUAGCCUCGGAGUCCACAGUGAAAACACUGCCAAAGAUAAAGGGGAUAAAUGGGAAACAGAUAUCGCAUGAAAAAUAUUGAAAGAGUUCUAGGGCUGCAAAUAGAUGAUGGCAAAGACAAAUACACCCUCUUGCACUGUUAAUCAGCUUUGAAUCUCACAGCCUGAGCAAAUGUAGAGAAAGCUGCAACACUACUAGUUCAUAUAUGCUAUAUGGCAGAAAUCCAUCCAAGUCGGGGCCGGUCACACCAAAAGAAGUUCAUGGAAGAACAAAUAAAUAUGUUCUUAGAAAGUUUACAGGAGUCAAUAAAAGAGCUCCAUUUACUGCAGUUAAGCUCCAAAGGAAAAUCUGAGUUGCUGGAACAAAAGGGAAAAGGAACUGGGAUAAUUUCAAAACUUAAGAUGAUGCAAAGUUUAAACUGUAUUAAAAUCAUUUUAUUGGUGCAAA